rnacentral:rRNA from 1 species
GACGAACGCUGGCGGCGUGCUUAACACAUGCAAGUCGAACGCUGAAGCUCAGCUUUUGUUGGGUGGAUGAGUGGCGAACGGGUGAGUAACACGUGAGUAACCUGCCUCCUUCUUUGGGAUAACGCCCGGAAACGGGUGCUAAUACUGGAUAUUCACUGGUCUUCGCAUGGGGGUUGGUGGAAAGGGUUUUUCUGGUGGGGGAUGGGCUCGCGGCCUAUCCGCUUGUUGGUGGGGUGAUGGCCUACCAAGGCUUUGACGGGUAGCCGGCCUGCGAGGGUGACCGGUCACGUUGGGAGGGAGAUACGGCCCAGGCUCCUAGGGGAGGCAGCAGUGGGGAAUAUUGCGCAAUGGGGGCAAGCCUGAUGCAGCGGCGCGGCGUGAGGGAUGGAGGCCUUCGGGUUGUGAACCUCUUUCGCUCAUGGUCAAGCCGCAACAAUGGUUGUGGUGAGGGUAGUGGGUAAAGAAGCGCCGGCUAACUACGUG